rnacentral:rRNA from 1 species
AAUCAACGCUGGCGGCAUGCCUAACACAUGCAAGUCGCACGAGAAAAUGGUAGCAAUACCAUGAGUACAGUGGCGCACGGGUGAGUAACACGUGACUAACCUACCUUUGAGUGGGGAAUAACUGGGGGAAACUUCAGCUAAUACCGCAUAAUACCUACGGGUCAAAGAAGCAAUUCGCUUAAAGAGGGGGUCGCGGCCGAUUAGUUAGUUGGUGGGGGUAAUGGCCUACCAAGACAGUGAUCGGUAUCCGGCCUGAGAGGGCGCACGGACACAUUGGAACUGAAACACGGUCCAAACUCCUACGGGAGGCAGCAGUGGGGAAUUUUGCGCAAUGGGGGAAACCCUGACGCAGCAAUGCCGCGUGGAGGAUGAAGUACUUCGGUAC